AAAGAAAGAAAAAGAAGGAAAGGGAAAGGAAGAGAAAAGGGAUUUAUAGAAAAAGGGAAUAGGGUGAAAAAGAAGAGAGAUUUGCAAGAGAUUUCAACUCUGACUUAGAGGCUACCCAAAUCAGACAUCCUCCAGAUCGUGUUGGAUAGUGUUUCGUUGGGUUGUGCCACGGUGUAGCAUAUUUAGUGUUGGAUAUAGACUUUUUGUUUUGUUUUUUUUAUAAACUUAUGAAAUGUUGAAAGGCCGGAGGCCUAAUCACCAUAUUCUCAUAAUCUUUUGAAAUGAGUAAAGAUGUAAAUUAUUUUGUUAUGUAUGUGAUAAGGCCGGAGGCCUGAUUUCAAGUUUAUUUUCUGAUUUCUUGGUUUUAAAUCAGGAUGUAUUUUGAUAUGUACUCAUAUAAAGGUCGGAAGCCUAUAGAUGAUAUUAUAUUAUGUGCUAGGUUAUGGUGCAGAAAAGUUUUUAAACAAAAUUA